rnacentral:rRNA from 1 species
AUUGAACGCUGGCGGCAUGCUUUACACAUGCAAGUCGAACGGUAACAGGCCGCAAGGUGCUGACGAGUGGCGAACGGGUGAGUAAUGCAUCGGAACGUGCCCAGUCGUGGGGGAUAACUACUCGAAAGAGUAGCUAAUACCGCAUACGAUCUAUGGAUGAAAGCGGGGGACCGUAAGGCCUCGCGCGAUUGGAGCGGCCGAUGUCAGAUUAGGUAGUUGGUGGGGUAAGGGCUCACCAAGCCAACGAUCUGUACCUGGUAUGAGAGGACGACCAGCCACACUGGGACUGAGACACGGCCCAGACUCCUACGGGAGGCAGCAGUGGGGAAUUUUGGACAAUGGGCGCAAGCCUGAUCCAGCAAUGCCGCGUGCAGGAAGAAGGCCUUCGGGUUGUAAACUGCUUUUGUACGGAACGAAACGGCUCUGGUUAAUACCCGGGGCUAAUGACGGUACCGUAAGAAUAAGCACCGGCUAACUACGUG